UACGUAGGGUGCAAGCGUUGUCCGGAAUUAUUGGGCGUGAAGAGCUCGUAGGCGGCUCGUCGCGUCGACCGUGAAAACCCGCGGCUUAACUGCGGGCUUGCGGUUGAUACGGGCGGGCUAGAGUUCGGUAGGGGAGACUGGAACUCCUGGUGUAGCGGUGGAAUGCGCAGAUAUCAGGAAGAACACCUAUAGCGAAGGCAGCUUGCUGGGACGACACUGACGCUGAGGCGCGAAAGCGUGGGGAGCGAACAGG
rnacentral:rRNA from 1 species